CACAGUGGCUGGGAAGGCAGGCGAACUUGUCUAUCAGCUUCUCCCUGGUGAGAUUCUUGCGGGGGCAGGGAUUGAGUCAAACCUGGAAAUGACGUCAUUCUGAACUCAUCUGCCUUCAUCCAGAAGACUACCAAAGGGAACCAAAAGACCAGAGAACAGAAGCUGCUCUGGACAAAGAGGGGAGGACACCCCCCCCACCCACCCCCCACACACACCAAGUUCUGGUUGACUUCUACAGCAGUAGGAGCAGGAGACACCAGAAGCUUCAGGCCCAAAACAAAAGGGCCCACCAGCCAUAGACAGACAGAACUGUCUGAAGCUGUGAGCCCAAAGAAAUCCUUCCAUCUUGUUUUCCCGGGACUCUGUCACACUGAUGAAAAGUUUUAUGAUUCCAGGCUUUAGUAAGGAGGUCUUUGGAAUCUCCAGAGAAACCAAACAUGUAUACAUGGGAAGAAGUGUGCUUGGUUCGCAUGAUUAUGUAGUCGUCUGACAAGUUCAAAAUCUUCGGUGAGUGCUGGCUGGCUGUGUUCACGAAAAAUUGAUGCCAUACUGCAUCCUGGCAUUAGAGCCCUCUGG
ensembl:processed_transcript